rfam:Mycobacterium sp. 1100029.7 contig_85, whole genome shotgun sequence.
AAGCGGCCGUUCAAAGUGCCGGCAGCGGGGAAGGAGCCGGCCGCGUCGGACCGUGUCAGACGCCCCCAGAGCCGCCCGGGCCUGCCCACAUAU